rnacentral:rRNA from 1 species
AGUCGAACGGACCCGCAAGGGUUAGUGGCGAACGGUCGAGUAACACGUAGACAACCUGCCUCCGCAGUGGGGGAUAACAGUCCGAAAGGGCUGCUAAUACCGCAUGUGGCCGGGAAGCGAUGCUUCCUGCGCUAAAGGAGCAAUUCGCUGGGAGAUGGGUCUGCGGCCUAUCAGGUAGUUGGUGGGGUAACGGCCCACCAAGCCGACGACGGGUAGCUGGUCUGAGAGGAUGAUCAGCCGGACGGGGACUGAGACACGGCCCCGACUCCUUCGGGAGGCAGCAAUGAGGAAUCUUGCACAAUGGGCGAAAGCCUGAUGCAGCGACGCCGCGUGGGUGAGGAAGUUCUUCGGAAUGUAAAGCCCUUUUACCGGGGACGAUUAAUGACGGUACCCGGUGAAUAAGCCCCGGCUAACUACGUGCCAGCAGCCGCGGUAAUACGUAGGGGGCGAGCGUUGUCCGGAUUUACUGGGCGUAAAGAGCGCGUAGGCGGAAGCUUAAGUGUGGCCUGAAAGCCCCCGGCUCAACCGGGGAGGGUGGCUGCAAACUGGGCUUCUAGAGGGGGAUAGAGGAAAGUGGAAUUCCGGGUGUAGCGGUGAAAUGCGUAGAGAUCCGGAGGAACACCAGUGGCGAAGGCGGCUUUCUGGGUCCGCCCUGACGCUGAGGCGCGAAAGCGUGGGGAGCGAACGGGAUUAGAUACCCCGGUAGUCCACGCCGUAAACGAUGGUCACUAGAUGUGUGCGGUAUCGACCCCGCACGUGUCGCAGCUAACGCACUAAGUGACCCGCCUG